rnacentral:rRNA from 1 species
UACAGAGGUCCCAAGCGUUGUUCGGAUUCAUUGGGCGUAAAGGGUGCGUAGGCGGCCAACUAAGUCAGACGUGAAAUCCCUCGGCUUAACCGGGGAACUGCGUCUGAUACUGGAUGGCUUGAGUUUGGGAGAGGGAUGCGGAAUUCCAGGUGUAGCGGUGAAAUGCGUAGAUAUCUGGAGGAACACCGGUGGCGAAGGCGGCAUCCUGGACCAACACUGACGCUGAGUGAGCGAAAGCCAGGGGAGCAAACGGG